rnacentral:tRNA from 1 species
CGGCGCGGCGCGACUGGGCCGAUCGCUUCGCCGCCUACCGCGCGGCGCACCCGGCGCUCGCGGCCGAGUUCGAGCGCCGCCUCGCCGG